GAUGUCGGCUCAUCACAUCCUGGGGCUGAAGUAGGUCCCAAGGGUAUGGCUGUUCGCCAUUUAAAGUGGUACGCGAGCUGGGUUUAGAACGUCGUGAGACAGUUCGGUCCCUAUCUGCCGUGGGCGCUGGAGAACUGAGGGGGGCUGCUCCUAGUACGAGAGGACCGGAGUGGACGCAUCACUGGUGUUCGGGUUGUCAUGCCAAUGGCACUGCCCGGUAGCUAAAUGCGGAAGAGAUAAGUGCUGAAAGCAUCUAAGCACGAAACUUGCCCCGAGAUGAGUUCUCCCUGAGACUUUAGGUCUCCUGAAGGAACGUUGAAGACGACGACGUUGAUAGGCCGGGUGUGUAAGCGCAGCGAUGCGUUGAGCUAACCGGUACUAAUGAACCGUGAGGCUUAACCUUACAACGCCGAAG
rnacentral:rRNA from 1 species